AUGAUUGAAGAAGGAGAGGACAUGAAGGAGCGGUACUUGUACUGGGAGAAGGUGCAACCUGUCGAAGGCGAUUGCGCCUAUAAUCCCAACUUGUCCAUACAACCUCUUAUGAGGAACUGGACCGAAGGUGCAACUACUAGGAGAGAUCGGUUCGACUAUGGCAAUGGGCGCGGCCGUGGUAACGCCAAGAGGUUGUUGGAGAAGAUGAACAAAUCAGGUGUCAUGUACAAGCCGGCUGUUGUCGUGCCAUCCGUGGACAAUGAUGUGGAUCAAGAAGUGGAUUCGUUCGAGAACGCUCUUUUUCUGAGAUUGAUGAGCCGGAGGGUGUGGCAGAUGAGUUGA
rnacentral:rRNA from 1 species